AGUGAACGCUGGCGGUAGGCCUAACACAUGCAAGUCGAACGGCAGCACAGUAAGAGCUUGCUCUUACGGGUGGCGGGUGGGGGACGGGUGAGGAAUACAUCGGAAUCUACUUUUUCGUGGGGGAUAACGUAGGGAAACUUACGCUAAUACCGCAUACGACCUACGGGUGAAAGCAGGGGAUUUUCGGACCUUGCGCGAUUGAAUGAGCCGAUGUCGGAUUAGCUAGUUGGCGGGGUAAAGGCCCACCAAGGCGACGAUCCGUAGCUGGUCUGAGAGGAUGAUCAGCCACACUGGAACUGAGACACGGACCAGACUCCUACGGGAGGCAGCAGUGGGGAAUAUUGGACAAUGGGCGCAAGCCUGAUCCAGCCAUACCGCGUGGGUGAAGAAGGCCUUCGGGUUGUAAAGCCCUUUUGUUGGGAAAGAAAUCCAGCCGGCUAAGACCUGGUUGGGAUGACGGUACCCAAAGAAUAAGCACCGGCUAACUUCGUG
rnacentral:rRNA from 1 species